rnacentral:rRNA from 1 species
GUGACGCUGGCGGCGUGCUACACAUGCAAGUCAUGGGGGCCCAGCAAUGGGCAACCGGCGAACGGGUGCGUAACACGUGAGCAACCUACCCAGGUGUGGGGGAUAGCCGUCCCAACGGACGGGUAAUACCGCAUACGCUCUUUUCGAGGCAUUUCGAGGAGAGGAAACCCUUCGGGGCACCAUGAGGGGCUCGCGGCCUAUCAGCUAGUUGGUGAGGUAACGGCUCACCAAGGCGACGACGGGUAGCUGGUCUGAGAGGAUGGCCAGCCACAUUGGGACUGAGAAACGGCCCAGACUCCUACGGGAGGCAGCAGUGGGGAAUCUUGCGCAAUGGCCUAACGGCUGACGCAGCGACGCCGCGUGAGGGAUGACGCUCUUCGGAGUGUAAACCUCUUUUGCCUGGAACGAACUAUCGGCUUUCGCCGAUUUGACGGUACCGGGUGAAUAAGCACCGGCUAACUCCGUGCCAGCAGCCGCGGUAAUACGGGGGGGUGCGAGCGUUGUCCGGAAUCACUGGGCGUAAAGGGCGUGUAGGUGGCGUGAUAAGGGUGUGGUGAAAGCCCGGGGCUCAACCCCGGGUCGGCCAUGCCGACUGUCAGGCUCGAGUGCUGUAGGGGCAGGCGGAAUUCCGGGUGUAGCGGUGGAAUGCGUAGAGAUCCGGAGGAAGACCGGUGGCGAAGGCGGCCUGCUGGGCAGUUACUGACACUGAAACGCGACAGCGUGGGGAGCAAACAGGAUUAGAUACCCUGGUAGUCCACGCCGUAAACGAUGGGUACUAGGUGCCUGGGGGAGCGACCCCCUGGGUGCCGGCGCUACGCAAGAAGACCCCCCCUGGGAGUCCGGCGCAAGCUGAACUCAAGAAUUGC